UACGAAGGGGGCUAGCGUUGUUCGGAAUUACUGGGCGUAAAGCGUGCGCAGGCGGCUUCUCAAGUCAGGGGUGAAAGCCCAGAGCUCAACUCUGGAAUUGCCUUUGAGACUGAGUGGCUUGAGUACGGGAGAGGUGAGUGGGAAUUCCCAGUGUAGAGGUGAAAUUCGUAGAUAUCCGGAAGAACACCGAUGGCGAAGGCAACCACCUGGGCCUGCACUGACGCUGAGGUACGAAAGCGUGGGGAGCAAACAGG
rnacentral:rRNA from 1 species